CGGAGGCGGCGGAGGUGCAGCUGUUUAAACUCCAGCUUUAAAAACACCAUAGUUUCCCCAUUUCCCCUCUUGUGCCCGUCUCUGGUCCACCAAGAGCCGUGGGAUCACCGAGGCACUCCGCUUUUCAGCCUGUAUUAUCACAGAAAGUCUAAUCAGUUCUCGCUGGUUCAGCGGCGGCUCAGACCCCUCAAAGGCGCAUAGGUGGGCUGAAAACCCAGAACCACCGGUAUCAGGCCCAGGAGAAAGAGCAAACUUCAUGGAAAUCGGAAAGGAGGCAAAAGCAGCUGUCAUUGGAUAGGUUCCUUGUUAAAGUCACACAAAAAGAAAAAGAUUCCAGUGAGCCGACAGUGUCGUCCUACAAAAUAACCCUCCUGUUCUCCUCUCUCUCGUCUCCCUCACAUCAUCCACGAUUCUUUUCAAAGGUAAAGUGCAGGUUAAUUUGUUUUAUAUAUUUUUACUUUAUAUUUUGUAUUAAUCA